UAGAAGCGAAAUCAUCCGAUUCUAAAUCGACCUGGCAACGAGGAACGGCAACCAACAUCGCCCCCAAGAUUUGCUACAACUGCCGUAAGACUGGACAUGAAAUUCGGGACUGCAAAUCCGUGCGCUGCCAAAUUUGUCAACGGCUGGGCCACUCUGCCACGUCUUGCUGGUAUGCUGCCGGGACAUCUCAGACCGUCCCUAGGACAGCACAAUACACCACGACUCAGCAGCAAGGAAUACAGGCACCUCAGCGGCCAAUGCAGCUCCCAAAAAUGGGAGACAAUCCGAUUGAUCGCCGUGGGCCACGGCAGCUGCAGGAUGGCCGAAUGUAAUAAGUUUUACUCAAUAACCCGUAUGUUUCGGAUGAGGUGUAAAUAUAUAUCUUGUAAUUUCCCCUAUUAUUAUAUAAAAUAUUAUUAUUAUUAAUUUAGCAUAAGUAUGACACCAAUGAGGUUUAUGUCUAAUUAUAAAUAUAUCUAACAAUGUAGUGAAUUAAUUAUAUUAAGAAUUAUUAUGUUGGUAACUCUCAAUUGCAAUUGUUUAUUUAAUAUUUUCUUGUUGGCAACACUGCAUUGAAAUUGUUUAUAAAAUAGGGUGCAACAGUCAUUUGAGCCCUCUUGUAUUGUGGAUCGCCUAAUAAACAACACCUCUUGGCA